CCCACUUUCUUUCCCUCUCGGCCUCUCCGCACUCACCGCCACCAUCGGCACUCGGCAAGAUUCUCCCUUUGUCUCUCCGCACUUUGCAGGACAGUAGCAAGAGCAAGAAGCCCUCCGCUAACCGCUCCCCACUCCGCAUCAAGCCAAGAUCUCAAAGCCAAAGGAAACCCUAAUCUUAAAGUCCCUCCGUCUCUCCGCAUUUCCUGUUCAAAUUGCGACGCUGUUCGAUGCUAGCAAAGAGGCCGCUACCCCAUUAGGCAGUGACGUUGCCGCUCGGUGCUAGGCAGUGACGUUGCCGCUCACGAGGCAGCCACUGCUGCUCACUGAUUUCCUCUAUUUGUGAAGGAACCCUGCUACAUUUCUCCAUGCAUACACAUGCCUUCCUAUUAGCUUUGCAACAAGACAAGCUGCUGGUGCUAUUUUGCAAGAUGUUGCUGAUUCAGGAAUUCUGUUUGCAUUAUCGAUGUGUAAACACAAGAUUUGUUAAUAAGUGUAAUGUUUGCAGUUGUUUUCAGUCACUUGAUAUGCCAGAGAUUAAGCAACCAUUUGCCACAAAUUGCCUACUCUCAUAACCUUGAUCUUGCAUUCUUAACAUCAUAUUGUAAUCUAUAUGAUAGCUUGUCUUUAUAA